CAUAUUCCCCAAAUCUGUUCCUCAACUUGGUGAGGUCUUUUGUAUUGGUUUGUUUUUUAGACAGAGUCUGUAAUGUCUUCAUGAAGGACAAAAGGACAGGUCAAGGGCCAGUGUCAUGGUUUAUGUCGGUGACUGCCAGGCCUCAUGCAUUUAUAUUAUGCAUCUGUGAUUGGUUCAUUGUUUAGGGCUUGGAUUGGGGGUGUGAGUGCUACACUGGCCUAGGGGUGGAGCCAGAAUGUAAUGUAAUGAUAGAAAGAAGACAUGUCUUGCUCUCUUUUGCCAGUUUCUGCCUUACUGUUUACAGCCACCAUGAACUGCGGCCCUGCCAUACCAGCCUGCCUUGGAGCCGACUGAGUAUGGUCUGAAACCACCAAAUACUGUAACAAAUAACCUUUCCUCCCCAACUUUGGUCAUCAGGUAUUUUGUCUCAGCAACCAGUAAAAAGUAACUAAGACAGCCAAGGACUUAGCUCAACGGCCUAAGCGCCUGCCUAGCAAGAAGGACAGGUCAGCUACAGCCAACUUUUGCUUUUAACUCUGGAUCAAAGUCCUCUGAGGAAGGGAGUCUGUUAGAGAGUGAUUUGCACAUUUACAUUUGGGUGCUGGGAAGCUGCUGUGCAGAGAUCCAGGCAGGAGUGGCCCAGGCAGAGGGACAUCCCUGCAUCUGGGUGAGCUUGGCCUGUUCCAUGAGUAUGAUGGUGAUGUAAGAGGAGGCCACAGAAGCAACCAUCCAGAGGCCAGAUCGUGACCUUUGGGUCAGGGCAGGGAGUUUGGAUUUUAUUUUUAAUAGACUGAGAAUUCCUUAGAAAAGACUGAAAGCAUUGUAGUAAAGUAAAUCUCAUUUACAUUUUUUUUUUUUUAAUCAGUCCCGGGGAUCGAACCUGCUUGCAAGGCAGGUACUUAUGCCGCUGAGCUAAAUCCCCAGCCCCUCAUUUACAUUUUUAAAAGCUAAUUUUGACUGCUGGGUAGAGAAUGCAGGGACAGAAGUAGAAGCAGAAGCCCAUUGGGGAAGCUGUCACCAUCAUGCGGAGGAAGCCUUGGCGCCUGCACUCCAGUGCAACAAGGCCACUUCUUACCCGUCCUCUGCUACCAGAGUCGUCAUUUUCAUAUUUAUGCUACUAGAUUACCAGCAAAAGCAGCAUGGCCUCCUCUCUCCCUUUCUCCCUUUCUCCUGCCUACUAAUUAUUUUAAUUACAUUCCUUCUUGGUUUUUUCUUUCUAUUUUUUUUCCAUAUAGAAAAUCGAACUCAGGAUUUUGCACUUGCCAGGCAGACACUUAUGCUGCUGAGCUACAUCCCCAACCCUUAUUUCCGUUUUUAUUUACAAGUGUGUGUGUGUGUGUGUGUGUGUGUGUGUGUGUGUAGCGUCUUUUAAAUUAUUUUUAAACCACGAGAUCUGCGUCUGCCUGCCGGGCACCGCCACCAGAAGGCCCUUUCUUCUGUGUGUCCAGUGUGGGUCAAGGGAGAAAGACAGAUCCACCUCUGCCUGCUGUGCUCCAUCACCAAAAGGCCACAUCCUGCCGGUGGCCAGUGUGGGCAGAGAGAACCAGCAGAUCCACUUCACCCUCAGGGAGCUGCCACCAGAAGGCUCCUUCCUGCAGGCAGCCAGCAGGAGCAGGAACACACAGCCAGGUUUGAAGAUGACUCCUGGAACAAGUCAUCUUGAUGUCAUUCUGACAGCUCAGUCAACAACCAGCAGAACAGAGUCGAGAAAAUUGCAGGAAAGCAGCAUGUGGCUAUGUUGUGGACAGAGCCUGCUCUGUGUCUGAGGUUUCUAUCAUAUAUGAAUGGAUUGUCCUGCCUGUGUAGAAGCAGUAGACUUUGGAACCACCCGUAUCUGAGGAGGGAGCAUGUCACUGAGAGGUUCUGAUGAAUUUGGAAUGAGAAGCUGGCUCAGACCACUAAAUUAUGUUUUAACAGGAAUUUCCAGGAUCUCUGGAAGGGAAAAGCAAAUGUCCUGGGUGGCACGGCAAUAACAGAGAUAGCACACUCGGAAAGAUCAUCAGGCCGAGGGAGGAAAAGCAGGCAACAGCAGGUAGGACAUUCAGGACCAGAAGGCUCCAGCUUGCACAGAGUGUACCUGUGUGAUGCUGGGUGAGGGCCAGAGCCCAACGAUGUGGCAUGAGGCUUUCCAAGCCAAGGGGCAGAAGUGGCUUCCAUCCAUCCCUGCCUCUAUUCCAAGAAACAAAUUGGCAGGAUAAAAAAGAACCACGGUAGGAGAUAAGGAUGAACACGGAAUGUCUGUGGGAAGCAGCACGGUGCACUGUGCAGGCUCAUUUGAGCAAGUCAGGUUAGGAACUAAGCCCUGGAACAGAAAAGCACAAAGCAGAAGCAGAGAGUGCGGCUGACUUGAAAUUGCUGGGCACAGUGUGGAAGGCACAAUAGGAGAGUCGGGAAUAACUGUGACUUUGGACCGCUGACUGCCUACUUACGGAUGAGGCAGAAAGAGUAGACAUGAAAUUACACUCCUCAUCUGGACUUUUUGAUUAGAAGUGCUGGGGAAGGUAACAGAACUUUACCAGAGUUUAAGAAAGAGAAUUUAAAAGUUUUAAAAGAUGUUGAAGAGAAAGUGGUAGAGUAGACAUCACAGCCAGUGCCAAAUACAGCCUGUCCAGGACCUGGAAUUGAGACUCCUGGAAAACAACAACUUGAAGAGCAAGAAAGAAGUGGAACCAUGAGAACUGGGAAGGAGCUGAUAGGAAAGUCAGAAAGCACCGGGAAGCUGGAAAAACAGAAAAGCAUGAAGCUGUCAGAAUGCUCACCCUGCCUCCUGGGAAGAGGGACCUAUCUCCACAGACAUAAGAUAAGCCUACAGAGCAUCAGCAGCUCCAAGGAGGAGCAAGAAACCAGGCAAGCAGCGCUAGCCCCAAGGAAGAAAGCCUAUGGCUAUUGCAACGCUGCAAAGGAGCGCUGUGUUUCACUCUGAAAGUGACUCCUUCCCCAAGGCAGCCUGCAGUUGAAGAAGAAAUCCAGCGCACCCACCAUAUUGGAGAGGGGUUACCUACCCUCUUUGAAAAGGUUAACUCAAGAGCCACUUUGAGAAAGGUUUGUUUAAGACUAAACCACAGAGUAACUAUAGGAUACUAUACCCUGAAUAUCUGGUGGCACCGAACCACAGGACUGGUGGGAGGCAGACACAACAGACAGUUGCAGAGAGUGUGUAGACUAGACACAGACUCCCUGAGAAGUUUAAGCUGAUGCCAAGAAGGAUUUAGGGGGCACCAUUCCCUGUGGUGAGAAGUAAAGCUUGUCGUGUGUGGCUUUCAGAGGGAGCUGGGUCUGAAAGCUCUGACAAUUAAGUCCAACAGACUGAUUGACAGCCCCCUCCCUCUCCCACUGCUACUCAUCAUGAGCAAGGGUAUGGCUUAAUUUAGACAGUUGCCACAGCCUGGGGUGUGUGGACACAGGGGCCCCUGGGACGGGGUGGGGGUGGGAGCUACUUCACAAAUGCACAGGCCAUAAAGCCAAGGAGAGACAACCGUGACUCUCCAAAGUGGGCGUUAAGAGACUGACAACAGCUGUGGGGUGGAUACUAUUCACUGAACAUGCCUGGUGGGAAAGGCAUAAUGGAAUUCUGCAUUCACACACAAAAAUGUGAGUAUUUAAACAAAACAGGUUUACCAGUGACUUACACAUGUCUGCCGGAUCCAAAACUACAGGCCCUGGAAAGAAACAACUUCUUAAAAAAUACAAAGGAAUUUUUUAGAUUAAUAUCUUUUUUUCUUUACUUCUCUUCCCUCAUUGGUUUAUUGGGCCAGUUUGGGCGGUUUUUUCCCCUUCAACUUUUUCUCCUUCCUUCUCUUAUUUUUCUUGUUUGUUAUUUUCUGUUACUUUAAUUCAA